AUUGAACGCUGGCGGCAGGCCUAACACAUGCAAGUCGAACGGUAACAGGAAGAAGCUUGCUUCUUUGCUGACGAGUGGCGGACGGGUGAGUAAUGUCUGGGAAACUGCCUGAUGGAGGGGGAUAACUACUGGAAACGGUAGCUAAUACCGCAUAACGUCGCAAGACCAAAGAGGGGGACCUUCGGGCCUCUUGCCAUCGGAUGUGCCCAGAUGGGAUUGGCUAGUAGGUGGGGUAACGGCUCACCUAGGCGACGAUCCCUAGCUGGUCUGAGAGGAUGACCAGCCACACUGGAACUGAGACACGGUCCAGACUCCUACGGGAGGCAGCAGUGGGGAAUAUUGCACAAUGGGCGCAAGCCUGAUGCAGCCAUGCCGCGUGUAUGAAGAAGGCCUUCGGGUUGUAAAGUACUUUCAGCGGGGAGGAAGGGAGUAAAGUUAAUACCUUGACUCAUUGACGUUACCCGCAGAAGAAGCACCGGCUAACUCCGUG
rnacentral:rRNA from 1 species